AUUAUGGAGAGUUUGAUCCUGGCUCAGGACGAACGCUGGCGGCGUGCCUAAUACAUGCAAGUCGAGCGGAAUGAUGAAGAAGCUUGCUUCUUCUGAUUUUAGCGGCGGACGGGUGAGUAACACG
rnacentral:ncRNA from 1 species